rnacentral:lncRNA from 1 species
ACAAGUUCAACUCUGAAGAAGCCACAUUAGUUCAGAUCAGUUGAGUUCUUUUUGGAGAUGAUUAAUACAGGAGAGAAAGUGAAAGGAAGAUUCUUUUAUUUUUGUUCUUAGUUUUCUGAAUUGUGAUGUAUAGAUAGAGGUAAACAAAACCAGCAGAAUGCAGAAGAUGUGAGCAAAGGGGGUUAAAAGGGAGAUUCUUUCUCCUUUUCUGGGUUCUCUUUUUUCAGUUUUUCAGGAUCCAAUGCCAUUCCAAAUUGAACUUUGACAGUAUUUUGCAUCUUUUUACCCAGGCUGAACCAGCAAUCUCAGAUUCUUUCUGGGGAAAGAAAAAGAUUCCUUCCUUGGCAUCAAUCUCAGUAAGAGUUUUGAGAAAGAUAAAGGAGGAGAUUAGAGAAGGUUCUUUGACUACUCUUUCAGAUCAUGCAUUGCAUAUCCUCUAAUCUGAUUGGUUAGGAUGAUUAGGACAACAUAAAAGAAACAUCUAGAAUCAAUAUAGGGACCUCCAGUGCUUUUAGUGUAACGAUUUAAACAAACCGGGUAAAGGUGGGUGUCGAAGUUAGUUGAUCCAAAUCUCCUAUAUUAAAGAGGCCAGAUCAAUGGAGGAGUAGUCGUCGUUUGUAUUUUCUUUGAACUUCC